AGUGCUUGUAGGUCCUUUAUGCAAGCCUGUAGUCUGUAUAAUUAUAUCGAUAAAGAAAAUUUAUCUGAAACACCGUGUCGAUGCCUGUGUGUCAGGUUAACAUCCAGCCUUGGCUUAACUUUAUAUGGAAAUCUCGCUGUUUUAAUGAAAACAGAAUCUGAAUUUCUUAUUGAUGCUCGUCAGAAAAACCAGAAACCUUCUACCUGCACUCCAAGCUUCUCGGGAUCUUGGAGGAAUGACACGCUCCUUCCCGUCCGUAGGCGGUGCUUGCGCAUUUUGUUUUUCUCGUGUCUGGAACGAACAUCUGGAGCGCAGUGACUCACAUCCACAACACAUACAAACUCCGGCGUAAAAAUGUGGAGCUACUUCACGGAGUGCUAAAUCCUGCCUGUUCUCCGGUGGGUUUCUGCACACAGGCUGUCGGGAGAGUUAUGAAACUAAUGUGUGGGCAUGUUCAAACUUGUCUUCAGGUAACACACAAAGAAUGAAAAACCUGCCUAUCUGGAUGUAACUGCCACACCGUAUGAUAAUUUUUUCUGUUCACUGCUGCACCGUCACAUAAACUGUUAGAGAAAUAUGACCAGGGUCUGCUGCAUCAUCUUUUUGGUGGUCGUGGAGUUUCUGUGGAUACUGAGAGUUUCCAGAGGAGACUCUCAGGUCUCCUGUAUUUUUAUGGAGAGAUGCAUCUUGCCAUGCAGCUUCCAUGGCAGCUCUGAACCUGUUGUCCACUGGAUUAAGACAGAAGCAAACCAUUAUGUCCAUUCAUACUACGCUCAACAAGACCAGCUUGCAACACAAAACCAGCGCUUCAAAAGUAGGACUUCACUUUUCAAGGAUCAGGUCUCCAGAGGAAACGCCUCACUCCAGCUGACAGAGGUGAACGUUCAGGAUGAGGGGAGAUACCAGUGCCACACCAGCACCAUCAGUGGAAACAAAGAAAUGGUCAUCAUCCUGAAUGUGGACGCUCCAGUCCGUAAAGUUAAUCUCCAACAAGUAGGACAAAGGAUCACCUGCAGCUCAGAGGGGAUCUACCCUCAACCUAAUCUCACCUGGUCCACCAACCCUUCAUCCAGCAUCACCAACAACAACACAACAGCCCAUCAGAUUGACCAGCAGCUUUACAACAUCAGCAGUUCUCUGAUACUUCCAAAGAGUGACAUGGAUCUGAAUUACAGCUGUGCAGUCAGCACUCGCAGAAACAGGAGGAGAGCAACCUUCAGGCAACAAGGAUUAGUGACUGAGAGCCAGUCUGACACAACAAUCCACUGUUCCCCCUCACACACCCCUGUAACAAACCUCAUCUGGAGAUUCGACCACAGUCAGAUCAUCCUGACAAAGACUGACAGUCAGUACACAGUCUCAGAGGAGUGGAAGCAGCAUGUAAAGGAUGUGUCAGAGUCAGGCAGCCUCACACUGCAGGACUUAUCCUCAGAUCAGGAGGGAACAUACACGUGUGAACUCGCUGAUGCUGUGGAGACUAAAAUAACUAAUAUCCUCGUGAAGAUCAAUGAAGGGAAUUCAUCUAAUGUUGGAGCAAUCGUAGGAGUGGUCAUUGCAGUCAUUGUAGUUUUAGCCUUAUUAGUAACUGGAUGGCUGUGGAAUAAUCAGAAAUGCUGCUUUUCAUGAAUCACUGAAGCCAGUUUUCCUGUGAGGAAAGAAAUGCCAUGUGACACCAAACAAUAUUUACAAAGGAGUCUCAGGGUCACAUGAAGGUAAAAUAAUGUUUUAUCAGUUUUUACACUAAAAGUGUCCCACAGAUGCUGCGACUUUUGUCCAAACUGCAGUAUUAGUGUAAAACCUCAACAAGCAGACGAGUGAGGACUUUGAUGCUGGGAAGGAAACAGAAAGAAGAGUCUGUCUGCUGAAUUCAAACUGGGAGCUGGUUCCACAGGAGAGGAUUCUGAAAGCUGAAGGCUCUGCCUCCCAUUCUAGUUUUAAAGACUGGGAAUCACCAGUACGACUGCAGUCUGACAGCGACGUGCUCUGUUGGGAUCAUGCGGUACUAUACGGUUAUUAAGAUGUGAUGGGGCCUCAUUAUUCAAGGUGUUGCAUGUGAAAAAUGUGUUGAACAAUUUUUAUGAUAAGUUUGAAUACUGUAAUUGUUUCUGAUUAUAUCUCAGAUUUUCCCUGCUGGUUCUUACAUAUCACCCAAUAUUUUUAAUCUCAAGCUUCUUGGAUUAACUGGAUGUUUAUUUGGCAGUUUUUAGAACAACCUGAUUAUAAAUGAAUUACAACAGUCAAGCCUGGCAAUAAAAAAAUAAAUGUGAACAAAAUCUCAUUCUAAAGCAGACUUUCACUAACUCUGCACUAAAAUUGCAGUUUUACAUGAAAUAUCAACUUUAUAUUGACAUUUUUACGUUGGUGUUGAAAUAUGUUUUUCAUCUGUAAUUAUUUUUUCCAUGUAAUUCUCAAAGCAGUAUUAAUAUGUUCAGUUUAAUGAGUACGGUUUACUUUAGAUUUUUUAAAUAUUUUAAAAACAUUUUCAAUGCCAACUUUGAAUGCUCACAUUGUUUCUGGAACAAGGAGCUGAAAUAAUUUUGUCUCUCAUGUAAACUCAACAGGAACUUUCAUAGAUGGAAAACCUGCUUUAGAUCUGUUUUUUGAAGUCAUCUAACUCGUGAUUUCAGUGUGAAUGGUACCACAGUUUGAGCACUUUGCAUGGAUGUUUUUAUGUAUCAGACUCUUGUUUCUACUCUGGAUUUAAACAGUAAAGACAAAAGCAGGGAUAGAUGAACUGGAACAGAGGCAGCUGCUUUGUAAGUGACCAGUACAGUCGUGGCCAAAAGUUUUGAGAAUGACACAAAUAUUAGUUUUCACAAAGUUUGCUGCUAAACUGCUUUUAGAUCUUUGUUGUCAGUUGUGUCUGUGAUGAACUGAAAUAUAAUUACAAGCACUUCAUAUGUUUCAAAGGCUUUUAUCGACAAUUACAUGACAUUUAUGCAAAGAGUCAGUAUUUGCAGUGUUGGCCCUACUUUUUCAGGACCUCUGCAAUUCAACAGGGCAUGCUCUCAAUCAUCUUCUGGGUCAAAUCCUGACUGAUAGCAACCCAUUCUGUCAUAAUCACUUCUUGGAGUUUGUCAGAAUUAGUGGGGUUUUGUUUGUCCACCUGCCUCUUGAGGAUUGACCACAAAUUAUCAAUGGGAUUAAGAUCUGAGGAGUUUCCAGGCCAUGGACCCCAAAUUUCAACGUUUUGGUCUCCGAGCCACUUAGUCAUCACUUUUGCCUUAUGGCACGGUGCCCCAUCGUGCUGGAAAAUGCAUUGUUCUUCACCAAACUGUUGUUGGAUUGUUGGAAGAAGUUGCUGUUGGAGGCUGUUCUGGUACCAUUCUUUAUUCAUGGCUGUGUUUUGGGGGCAAAAUUGUGAGUGAGCCCACUCCCUUGGAUGAGAAGCAACCCCACACAUGAAUGGUCUCAGGAUGCUUUACUGUUGGCAUGACACAGGACUGAUGGUAGCGCUCACCUUUUCUUCUCCGGACAAGCCUUUUUCCAGAUGCCCCAAACAAUCAGAAAGAGGCUUCAUUGGAGAAUAUGACUUUGCCCCAGUCCUCAGCAGUCCAUUCACCAUACUUUCUGUGGAAGAUCAAUCUGUCCCUCAUGUGUUUUUUGGAGAGUAGUGGCUUCUUUGCUGCCCUUCUUGACACCAGGCCAUCUUCCAACAGUCUUCGCCUCACUGUGCGUGCA